AAUAAGAUCAGAUAAUCCUUGAACAAUUCUAUCAAAUAUAAAGAAUACAAUAUAAUAACACUUCAGAAUAAUGCAUAAUACAAAAGGGAAUAUUUUAAGAUACUGCAGGUCUGCAGUAUGACCUUUUGACAUCUUAAUAUUUGAUGAAAUGUUUCUUAACUAAACAUAAAUGCCAAACACCAUAUAAAUUUUAGUAGCAUGCAGCAAACCUUAUUUGCCUUCCAAAACAACUUUUUCAU
rnacentral:misc_RNA from 1 species